CUCACCAACACUUGUUAUUUUCUGGGUGUAUUAGUGCCUUCUCACGCUGCUAUAAAGAACUGCCCAAGACUGGGUAAUUUAUUAAGGAAAGAGGUUUAAUUGACUUACAGUUCUGCAGGGCUGGGGAGGCCUCAGGAAACUUACAAUCAUGGUGAAAGGGGAAGCAAAUAUGUCCUUCUUCACAUGGCAGCAGCAAGUAGAAGUCCUGAGCAAAGGGUUAAAGUCCCUUAUAUUAAUAAAACCAUCAGCCGGGCGUGGUGGCUCACGCAUUUUGUAAUCCCAGCACUUUGGGAGGCCGAGGCGGGUGGAUCACGAGGUCAGGAGACACAGACCAUCCUGGCUAACACAGUGAAACCCUGUCUCUACUAAAAAUAAAAUAAAAUAAAAUUAGCCGGGCGUAAUGGCGGGCGCCUGUAGUCCCAGCUACUCAGGAGGCUGAGGCAGGAGAAUGGCAUGAACCCGGAAGACAGAGCUUGCAGUGAGCCGAGAUUGCGC
rnacentral:lncRNA from 10 species